UACGAAGGGGCUAGCGUUGUUCGGAAUUACUGGGCGUAAAGCGCGCGCAGGCGGCUAUCCAAGUCAGUGGUGAAAGCCCGGAGCUCAACUCCGGAACUGCCAUUGAAACUGUUUAGCUGGAGUAUGAGAGAGGUGAGUGGAAUUCCCAGUGUAGAGGUGAAAUUCGUAGAUAUUGGGAAGAACACCGGUGGCGAAGGCGGCUCACUGGCUCGAUUACUGACGCUCAUGCGCGACAGCGGUGGGGAUCAAACAGG
rnacentral:rRNA from 1 species